UACGUAGGGCGCGAGCGUUGUCCGGAAUUAUUGGGCGUAAAGAGCUCGUAGGCGGUCUGUCGCGUCGGCUGUGAAAACCCGUGGCUCAACCCCGGGCCUGCAGUCGAUACGGGCAGACUAGAGUGCGGUAGGGGAGACUGGAAUUCCUGGUGUAGCGGUGAAAUGCGCAGAUAUCAGGAGGAACACCGGUGGCGAAGGCGGGUCUCUGGGCCGUAACUGACGCUGAGGAGCGAAAGCGUGGGGAGCGAACAGG
rnacentral:rRNA from 1 species